rnacentral:sRNA from 2 species
AACAAAUAGACGCUUAAUCGCAAGCAUAGUUUAGAGAAAUUCUUUAAAUCGUGCGGCGAGCCGGGGAACCAAACGUGUUCCUGGGGUGAGUUUCCCACAAGGGUUCUCUCGCAGAGAGAGAAGGAGUGGGGAUAGGGGCCUUCCGCUCCGAACCCGACAGCUAACUCGGUCAGCAAACAGGAAGAAUUU